AUUGAACGCUGGCGGCAGGCUUAACACAUGCAAGUCGAGCGGAGAUGAGGUGCUUGCACCUUAUCUUAGCGGCGGACGGGUGAGUAAUGCUUAGGAAUCUGCCUAUUAGUGGGGGACAACAUUCCGAAAGGAAUGCUAAUACCGCAUACGUCCUACGGGAGAAAGCAGGGGAUCUUCGGACCUUGCGCUAAUAGAUGAGCCUAAGUCGGAUUAGCUAGUUGGUGGGGUAAAGGCCUACCAAGGCGACGAUCUGUAGCGGGUCUGAGAGGAUGAGCCGCCACACUGGGCCGGGGACACGGCCCAGACUCCUACGGGAGGCAGCAGUGGGGAAUAUUGGACAAUGGGGGGAACCCUGAUCCAGCCAUGCCGCGUGUGUGAAGAAGGCCUUAUGGUUGUAAAGCACUUUAGGCGAGGAGGAGGCUACUGAGACUAAUACUCUUGGAUAGUGGACGUUACUCGCAGAAUAAGCACCGGCUAACUCUGUGCCAGCAGCCGCCGUAAGAC
rnacentral:rRNA from 1 species